rnacentral:misc_RNA from 1 species
GAUGAAGAACGCAGCGAAAUGCGAUAAGUAGUGUGAAUUGCAGAAUUCAGUGAAUCAUCGAAUCUUUGAACGCACAUUGCGCCCUCUGGUAUUCCGGAGGGCAUGCCUGUCUGAGCGUCAUUGUCAACCCUCAAGCUCAGCUUGCUGUUGGGUCCCCGUCGUUGCUUUAACGGCGGACCCGAAAGGUAAUGGCAGAGUCCGUGAGACCCUAGACGCAGCGAGCUUCUAGCACGCGUCUGGACGUUUUUCGGGCUCGGUCUUAACUAGAUGAUAACUUCCGAUUGACCUCAGAUCAGGUAGGGAUACCCGCUGAACUUAAGCAUAUCAAUAAGCGGAGGA